GUGGUCCUUGUGGCCCUAGUGUCGAUUGCUCGAGCAAUUCAAAGUGCGUUCUUAAACUUUAAACUGAGUUUGAACUUCUUCUUGCUAGAGCUGCUACCGAUUUUUCAAACUACUUCAGUCACCUGGAGCAAGUCCGUAAUGAAAAAGAAACUCCGUCCCACCGGCGACCAGCAACAACGGCACAUUUACCCUAGGGACUCCCACG